UACAGAGGUCCCGAGCGUUGUUCGGAUUCACUGGGCGUAAAGGGUGCGUAGGUGGCAUGUUAAGUUUGAUGUGAAAGCUCAGGGCUUAACCCUGAAAUGGCAUUGAAUACUAGCGUGCUGGAGGUUUGGAGGGGGGGACUGGAAUUCUCGGUGUAGCAGUGAAAUGCGUAGAUAUCGAGAGGAACACCUGUGGCGAAGGCGAGUCCCUGGACAACACCUGACACUGAGGCACGAAAGCCGGGGGAGCAAACAGG
rnacentral:rRNA from 1 species